CAGAUUAAUAUCUUUUUAUUAAAAAAUAACGAAACUAAUAAUCACAUUCUGCGCUUUGUGCGGAUUAUUACCUAGUCUAUCUAUAUUAUAAUAGGUAGCACUUUUGUGGGUUCCACGUGAAUUUUUGUUUACCAACAACAAUUUUGUCUUCUGGAUUUGUAAUAACAAGUUUUAAGUUUUGUGAUAUAUCAAAUGGGCUUCGUAACAAAAAUUUUGAAAGCCCAGUUGACUCUUUCUGGCCCGUAAGCUUUAGACUCCUACUCAUCUGACAAACACCGAGCGACUCUUUGAUUUUCGUAAGAAGUUUCUCUUCUUCGACCUCCACAUCUCCCCAUCUUAAAUCAAUUCAUCGUUAAUGGUCCCGAUUCGUAAACACACCUCCGUAAUUCCUCCUUAUAUAUACUUCAUCUUAAACGGAAGGAACCCUUCAUCUCAAAAACUCUCAUCGAUCAGAUUUAUGAUUAUAUAGAAUUCAAGGAAUGUGAAGAAAGAUGGAGAGCUUUAGGAGAUCGAUAUGUUUCUGGUAGAUGAGCAGUUUAGGCUGAUUAAGGGCGGUAUUAGCGUCCACCUCUUGAAUCUAUGAGAUCAGUGGAUUCGAUGUAAAAAGAGAAAUCUAUUUUUUCAAGCUCACAAUGGCAGCCGUCUCUAUUAGAUUCACUCAAGAAACGUCCAUGGUCGAAAUACCCGAAACCAUUAAUCUUAUACCAAAGGAGGUCUUCAUGAACACCUAAUUACCACAUGUUGUCGGGGAGGUUAUGGGGUUAAAACCAAACCCAGACUAUUCAGCGUAUUGUGGCGAACCUACGGCUAGAACGGGGUGUAUGUUUCAGUGUUUCGAUGGGCUCGGCGCUUUGCUUCAUGAGAAAUUGGUGGCCUCAGGUUGUAUUCACUUACCAACAUGGAUCCUACCUAAGCUGGUUGUAGACUGUGGAGUUUCUGUGCACUGGAUAAGUUGUUAGUAAUGAAACUACCAAUGGGUGGUGCUACACCUCCUGCUCAAAAUGCUAUCGAAAGCUUCAGCGUGGAUUUUCCUCAUUCACACGUGCAUACUGCCAUUACGACAACGCAGUUGGAGUUCUCAGGUACUUUGUCCAAUUCUGUGGGUCAGAUAGGACAAAUUCCGCUGGGUUUUGUGGCAUUUGACGGAGAUAUGACUAAGCAAACCAACUCAUGUGCAGAAGAAAUUACUCGACUAACAGUAACACCAUCGAGAACCUUAUACAAUUAAUGGUUUAUAUCUUUCAAAAACACCACUACAUCCUCACCAGCAUUUUAAAACAGGAUACCCCGACUAAAGACCCUUGCCACAAUGCUUAAAGGAUUUGGUUGGCACCACUAUAACUUUGCAUUUAAAGCUGUCCCCAUUCAACUUUUCCUAAAAGCAGCAGUCCUUCACCAUAGCAAGGAUCAUUGAUCGCAAUCAACGUCCACCACUCUGCUGGAAACGGAGAAGAUGAUAACACUGGAGAUGACAUGCCUGGAGUUGGAGCAGUUAAAAGUACGCCCUCCAUUGAUGUCACCAAGGAAGUCCCUGUUGACAGUGCCAGACCUUCACGAGGAUGUACGCACCGUCAAGAAGCCCCGCAAUGGUUAAGCUUCGCAUAUAGGGAAUGUCCAAGCUCAAUGCCCAUUACUGCUUUUCCUUUCGUUUUGAAUUUUCUUCUUAGCUUCAUUAAACUGCUAAGGAACUCCGUUCCUCUAGGAAUCCUAUUCUAUGUUCUUAGAAAAUUUUCAUUAUGCUUUGCUUGGUCACUUAUAGCCUUAUUGAGCCUUAUCUAAAUUUAUAAAAUCCCACUUAUGGAAGCUAAUUUUUUAUUUUCGUAAA